UCUAAUGGCUAUACCAGGGUAUAGCCAUCUAUUGGUGUACUCCCUCCCAAAGAAAAUAAAAAAGUUAUAUAUACAUGUGCUUUCUUUAAAAAAAACUGCAUAUAAAUUUUUCAAAAACCAGAAAUCUCUCAUUUUUGUUUUCUCUCUCCUCAAUUUCUCUCUCCCCAAAAGUUUCUCUCUCCUCAUUUUUACGUGAUUUUUUUUCUCAAGUAACAAUGUCAAUCGGAAAAUCCGCUUACGUUUGCGCCGCCCUUAUCAUUCACGACAACGAAGUCGUUGCCACUAGCUCCUACAACAAUGAGGAAAUUGAAACCAUGAAGGUCAAAUAUUGUGUUUAAAUCACACUUCAUAAACACAUUCAGAAGUAUGAGAACUCAAGACUACAUCAAAAGCAAGAUUCAAGAUUGAAGAUAUAGAAAAAUAAGAGGAUGAUUUGUACCAGCAUCUUGUAAUUCAACUACAAUUUUACAUAGGCAAUGGCUAAAAUGUUCUUUUUUUGGUAAAAUAUGUUGUUUGACAUAAUUUCAUUGCACCUUAUAUGUAAAUAUAAUGCUCAAUGUAAUAACAUAGUAAUACAUUAACUAUGUUCAUUUGAAAAUUAGUAAAUACUCAUUUCACAAUCAAUAAUAUUCAUUUCUAAAUUAGUUGAACAAA